rnacentral:tRNA from 1 species
GGGCUUUAACUUAAUUAAAGUGUCUGAGUUGCAGUCAAAAAAUGUAUUUUAAAGUUAUACAAGUCCU